UGGUAAAAGAGCUGUGUUCUUCAUAUGGAAACUCUAAUCAAUCAUCAAUCACUUCAAAAUCUUCUACAAAAUUAUGAACACGUAUCAAAACCCUAAUUGACAGCCGUAUUCAAUCAAAAUUGUAGUUUCUCAUACCUAUCAAAACCCUAAUUGAAACAUCAACCAUGAUAGAGGCAGCGAAACCAGGCAGUGGUUGUGUCUAGCGGCGGCAGUGGUGGUCUAAUGUUGAUGGUGGAGGAGUCGCGACAGCAGUGGGUUUGUGGUACUGGAAUCUUCAUCUCAAUCAUUCCCUACUCCAUCUAAUGUUUUACAGUGAUGUUGAAAGAAGAUGCAUACAUGGAAAUUUAUAUUAUGGGUUUAUGUAAGCAUACAUGGAAUUGUAUGCACAUGACUGGUACAAGAACAUUAUUAAGGCCCCUUCUAAAAAAAACACUACUGAAUAUUUUCUUUUGUUUGUUUUAUUUCAACUUAGAUUGAAUGGGUUAGGGAAAAUUGGGUAUUUUGAUAUGAUUAGAUAACUUUAUCCAGCAUAGGGCAUAAAGAUCAACUUGAACUAUUGAUAAAAGGUUUGAAUUUUUAUAUGUGUCUGAGUUUAGUGAGAGAGCUGUGAGUGAGGAUGAUGAUGAUGAUGUUUGUUUAAAAUAAUAAAAGUGGUGUGGGGAAAAAAAUGAUCAACGUCUUUAGUUGGUAGUUUGAUUUCUCAGAGUAUUAUUGGUCUCAUGAUGACGAAGAAAUUGUGUCUGAGGAUGAUAUAUCUGAUGAUGAUGAUGGAAAUGCUGACAGCAUUCGUGUUAUGUGGGACAAAUUAACGCCUCGAGAUACCAUGAAGAACGCUGGUGUUCCAACCGUACCAAGAAGUGAUGGGCUAUUACAGCACUGAAGAAGGCAUCAAGUUAGCUGACGAGAUAGGCUUCCCUGUGAUGAUUAAGUCAAAUACAUUGGAAGAACUCAAGCCUUUGUUAAAUCACAAACUGCUGGAUGAAUUGGUUAGCAUCUCGCAUAGAAGGAAGAGUGGUUUUUACUACCAAUGUUCGUGAAGUUGGCCUUUCAAUGGUACUUGGAGCUUUUCUUGCUGCUUUGCUACUUGCGAAAACUGAAUUUUGUUUACAAUUCUAAUCAGAUUUUGCUCCAUAGCGUGGCCUUCUAUUAGGUCCAUAGCGUGGCUUACUUGGUGUUUCAAGUGCUUUACCAUAUAGAGGUCAAUGUAUCAAUAAUAAAAAAAUCAGUUUAAGUAUCAAAAUUAAUCUUAAGAUUAUAUCAUGGAUGGCGAGAAUGUAAAUUAUCAGUGAGUAUGCUUAGUGUCUAAAUCAUUUAGAUUUUCUUUUUUGAUUGAAAAAAAAUGUGCAAUCUUUUACUUUAGUGCAUUGAUGUAUAAAUAAUGCAUAUCUUAUGUGCAGGUAGGUAUAUGUGCACUUUAGGAAAGGAAACUUAAGGAACUGAAUCUAGUCAUGAGAAAUAUUACUUGAGAUCUGUAUAAUUUCAUUGAUGGCCUUGCUGACUUGACUUUGUAUACCCUUUUAAUUAGGGAUGAGCAUUUGGUACCGUGUACCAGUACCGAACUGUACCGGUAUAUUCAGUACCGGUACGGGUACCAAUUUUCUCUGUUUUCCGGAACAGGUACCGGUUCGAUACCAAACGGGUACCGUGCUCAUCUCUACUUUUAAUUAGACUUGAUGUCUUGCCUUUGAUGAUCAUGAAUAAGGAAUUUGUUUUCGCUUUA